rnacentral:rRNA from 1 species
GACGAACGCUGGCGGCGUGCUUAACACAUGCAAGUCGAACGGAAAGGCCCUGCUUUUGUGGGGUGCUCGAGUGGCGAACGGGUGAGUAACACGUGAGUAACCUGCCCUUGACUUUGGGAUAACUUCAGGAAACUGGGGCUAAUACCGGAUAGGAGCUCCUGCUGCAUGGUGGGGGUUGGAAAGUUUCGGCGGUUGGGGAUGGACUCGCGGCUUAUCAGCUUGUUGGUGGGGUAGUGGCUUACCAAGGCUUUGACGGGUAGCCGGCCUGAGAGGGUGACCGGCCACAUUGGGACUGAGAUACGGCCCAGACUCCUACGGGAGGCAGCAGUGGGGAAUAUUGCACAAUGGGCGGAAGCCUGAUGCAGCAACGCCGCGUGCGGGAUGACGGCCUUCGGGUUGUAAACCGCUUUCGCCUGUGACGAAGCGUGAGUGACGGUAAUGGGUAAAGAAGCACCGGCUAACUACGUGCCAGCAGCCGCGGUGAUACGUAGGGUGCGAGCGUUGUCCGGAUUUAUUGGGCGUAAAGGGCUCGUAGGUGGUUGAUCGCGUCGGAAGUGUAAUCUUGGGGCUUAACCCUGAGCGUGCUUUCGAUACGGGUUGACUUGAGGAAGGUAGGGGAGAAUGGAAUUCCUGGUGGAGCGGUGGAAUGCGCAGAUAUCAGGAGGAACACCAGUGGCGAAGGCGGUUCUCUGGGCCUUUCCUGACGCUGAGGAGCGAAAGCGUGGGGAGCGAACAGGCUUAGAUACUCUGGUAGUCCACGCUGUAAACGGUGGGUACUAGGUGUGGGGUCCAUUCCACGGGUUCCGUGCCGUAGCUAACGCUUUAAGUACCCCGCCUGGGGAGUACGGCCGCAAGGCUAAAACUCAAAGGAAUUGACGGGGCCCCGCACAAGCGGCGGAGCAUGCGGAUUAAUUCGAUGCAACGCGUAGAACCUUACCUGGGUUUGACAUGGAUCGGGAGUGCUCAGAGAUGGGUGUGCCUCUUUUGGGGUCGGUUCACAGGUGGUGCAUGGCUGUCGUCAGCUCGUGUCGUGAGAUGUUGGGUUAAGUCCCGCAACGAGCGCAACCCUUGUUCACUGUUGCCAGCACGUUAUGGUGGGGACUCAGUGGAGACCGCCGGGGUCAACUCGGAGGAAGGUGGGGAUGACGUCAAGUCAUCAUGCCCCUUAUGUCCAGGGCUUCACGCAUGCUACAAUGGCUGGUACAGAGAGUGGCGAGCCUGUGAGGGUGAGCGAAUCUCGGAAAGCCGGUCUCAGUUCGGAUUGGGGUCUGCAACUCGACCUCAUGAAGUCGGAGUCGCUAGUAAUCGCAGAUCAGCAACGCUGCGGUGAAUACGUUCCCGGGGCU